rnacentral:rRNA from 1 species
GGGUUGUGAGGUUAAGCGACUAAGCGUACACGGUGGAUGCCCUGGCAGUCAGAGGCGAUGAAGGACGUGCUAAUCUGCGAUAAGCGUCGGUAAGGUGAUAUGAACCGUUAUAACCGGCGAUUUCCGAAUGGGGAAACCCAGUGUGAUUCGUCACACUAUCAUUAACUGAAUCCAUAGGUUAAUGAGGCGAACCGGGGGAACUGAAACAUCUAAGUACCCCGAGGAAAAGAAAUCAACCGAGAUUCCCCCAGUAGCGGCGAGCGAACGGGGAGCAGCCCAGAGCCUGAAUCAGUGUGUGUGUUAGUGGAAGCGUCUGGAAAGGCGUGCGAUACAGGGUGACAGCCCCGUACACAAAAAUGCACAUACUGUGAGCUCGAUGAGUAGGGCGGGACACGUGGUAUCCUGUCUGAAUAUGGGGGGACCAUCCUCCAAGGCUAAAUACUCCUGACUGACCGAUAGUGAACCAGUACCGUGAGGGAAAGGCGAAAAGAACCCCGGCGAGGGGAGUGAAAAAGAACCUGAAACCGUGUACGUACAAGCAGUGGGAGCACGCUUAGGCGUGUGACUGCGUACCUUUUGUAUAAUGGGUCAGCGACUUAUAUUCUGUAGCAAGGUUAACCGAAUAGGGGAGCCGAAGGGAAACCGAGUCUUAACUGGGCGUUAAGUUGCAGGGUAUAGACCCGAAACCCGGUGAUCUAGCCAUGGGCAGGUUGAAGGUUGGGUAACACUAACUGGAGGACCGAACCGACUAAUGUUGAAAAAUUAGCGGAUGACUUGUGGCUGGGGGUGAAAGGCCAAUCAAA